GACGAACGCUGGCGGCGUGCCUAAUACAUGCAAGUUGAGCGCUGAAGGCUGGUACUUGUACCAACUGGAUGAGCAGCGAACGGGUGAGUAACGCGUGGGGAAUCUGCCUUUGAGCGGGGGACAACAUUUGGAAACGAAUGCUAAUACCGCAUAAAAACUUUAAACACAAGUUUGAAGUUUGAAAGAUGCAAUUGCAUCACUCAAAGAUGAUCCCGCGUUGUAUUAGCUAGUUGGUGAGGUAAAGGCUCACCAAGGCGAUGAUACAUAGCCGACCUGAGAGGGUGGUCGGCCACAUUGGGACUGUGACACGGCCCAAACUCCUACGGGAGGCAGCAGUAGGGCAUCUUCGGCCAUGGGCGAAAGUCUGACCGAGCAACGCCGCGUGAGUGAAGAAGGUUUUCGGGUCGGAAAACUCUGUUGGUGGGGAAGAACGUUGGUGAGAGUGGAAAGCUCAUCAAGUGACGGUAACUACUCAGAAAGGGACGGCUAACUACGUG
rnacentral:rRNA from 1 species